AGGGGUAGAGCUCAGUGGUAGAGCUGUGCUUAGUAUGCACAAGGUCCUGGGUUCAAUCCCUGGUACCUCUG
rnacentral:tRNA from 1 species